CCUACGGGGGGCAGCAGUGAGGAAUAUUGGUCAAUGGGCGCGAGCCUGAACCAGCCAAGUCGCGUGAGGGAUGAAUGUCCUAAGGGUUGUAAACUUCUUUUAUCAAGGAAUAAAGUGUGGCACGUGUGCCCUUUUGAAUGUACUUUAUGAAUAAGGAUCGGCUAACUCCGUGCCAGCAGCCGCGGUAAUACGGAGGAUCCGAGCGUUAUCCGGAUUUAUUGGGUUUAAAGGGUGCGUAGGCGGGCUGUUAAGUCAGCGGUAAAAGCCCGGGGCUCAACCCCGGCGAGCCGUUGAAACUGGCUGUCUUGAGAUGGAGAGAGGUAUGCGGAAUGCGCAGUGUAGCGGUGAAAUGCUUAGAUAUUGCGCAGAACUCCGAUUGCGAAGGCAGCAUGCCGGCUGCGAUCUGACGCUGAGGCACGAAAGCGUGGGUAUCGAACAGGAUUAGAUACCCUGGUAGUC
rnacentral:rRNA from 1 species